UUCGGGAUAAAUAUGACAAGGUUGACGAAUUGCUUACUUCACCAACUCCCAAGGCUUCUGCAAAAGCUCUACCUUCAAUGAGUAAAUUAGGCUUGAAAAGGAUAAAUCCAGAACAAAGUGUGGAUUUUGACACCAAUCCAAUUACUCUGAGCUACUCUGAAGUUGUGAUAUAGGCCAUGAAAAUAAUUUCUUGAUUGUGCACCCAGAUAUUCUGCUGUCUGGAACAAGGGUUGCUGGCAGUUUUGGUUGCCUUAGGAGAACUGUCUUAGAUGAGAGGCUAAAAUGCAAUGAGUAUUCUACUGCAGCAUUGACUGGAACCUUGCUUCACCAAAUUUUUCAGGCUGGGCUUACAGAAGACAAUCCAUCUAUUGACUU